rnacentral:rRNA from 1 species
AGUGAACGCUGGCGGUAGGCCUAACACAUGCAAGUCGAACGGCAGCACAGUAAGAGCUUGCUCUUACGGGUGGCGAGUGGCGGACGGGUGAGGAAUACAUCGGAAUCUACUUUUUCGUGGGGGAUAACGGAGGGAAACUUACGCUAAUACCGCAUACGUCCUACGGGUGAAAGCAGUGGAUCUUCAGACCUUUCGCGAUUGAAUUAGCCGAUGUCGGAUUAGCUAGUUGGCGGGGUAAAGGCCCACCAAAGCGAAGAUCCGUAGCUUGUCUGAGCGGAUGGUCAGCCAAACUGGGAAUGGGAAACGGUCCAAAAUCCUACGGGGGGCAGCAGUGGGGGAUAUUGGACAAUGGGGGGAAGGCUGAUCCAGCCAUACCGGGUGGGUGAAGAAGGCCGUCGGGUUGUAAAGACCUUUUGUUGGGAAAGAAAAGCAGCAGGUUAAUACCCCGCUGUUCUGACGGUACCCAAAGAAUAAGCACCGGCUAACUUAGUGC